rnacentral:rRNA from 1 species
GAUGAACGCUGGCGGCGUGCCUAAUACAUGCAAGUCGAGCGAACAGACGAGGAGCUUGCUCCUCUGACGUUAGCGGCGGACGGGUGAGUAACACGUGGAUAACCUACCUAUAAGACUGGGAUAACUUCGGGAAACCGGAGCUAAUACCGGAUAAUAUAUUGAACCGCAUGGUUCAAUAGUGAAAGACGGUUUUGCUGUCACUUAUAGAUGGAUCCGCGCCGCAUUAGCUAGUUGGUAAGGUAACGGCUUACCAAGGCGACGAUGCGUAGCCGACCUGAGAGGGUGAUCGGCCACACGGGAACUGAGACACGGUCCAGACUCCUACGGGAGGCAGCAGUAGGGAAUCUUCCGCAAUGGGCGAAAGCCUGACGGAGCAACGCCGCGUGAGUGAUGAAGGUCUUCGGAUCGUAAAACUCUGUUAUUAGGGAAAAACAAAUGUGUAAGUAACUAUGCACGUCUUGACGGUACCUAAUCAGAAAGCCACGGCUAACUACGU